CUCAAAAUGCGAUUCAAACACCUUCAUCUCUCUCGUUUUUUCUUCCAAUUUUCUGUCAUUUCUCAAUUUCUUUGCUCUUUGCAAUUUUUCCAUUCCUUACCACUCUCGAUUAAGUUACAAUAGUUGAGAUCCUCAAAGAAACCAAAAAAAAUCCUGUCCACUCCCCAAAUUGUAGGCACCACUAGGUCCACCAAAAAUGGAGAAGAAGAGGUUGCGGUGGAGCAACUUCUGAUGACUGAAGCUGCUCCACCGGUAGAGGACGCCUCGUCGGUAGAGGAGAUGGCGCCGGAAGAAGAAUGGACAACAGGAUUUGAAAUUGAAAAUGAAGGGGAGGACGUCAGCGCAAAUUCUGGCGAGGAGGUGGAGGAAGAGGAAGAACAUGUAAUAAUCUAUAUAUUUUAUGAAAUUAUUGGUUGUUGGCGCCAAUUGAGGGGAUAUUUGGUUGGUGUUUGUUGAUAGAGUCAUUUCGCAUUUUGUCGAACAAUUAGAGGGCAUCAGAGGAGGGGGUGUUUUGGGCUUCCAGAAGACUGGGGAAGCCAAGGGAGGCGCUAUGGAGGUUGUUUGUGGCAGGCUGGAUGGCUUUUGUUGGCAAAGAGAGCAGAAUGAGGGGGCUAGGGGCUUGCGUGCAUAUUGCAAGGCUGUCCACACGCAGCCCUGAGCCCCCCUAUUCCGCUCUCUUCUGUGAAGUCCAAAGCACCCAUUUGUGUGUGUUUUUUAACAGCUGCUAGUGAAAAUAAUUUUAACAUAGACUUUAUGGUGAAUGAUCUUUGUAAUUUUGGUCCUCAAUGGCUCAGAAUAAAUCCAUUUGGAGUUUAAGUUUUUUCCUGAAAAAUGCUGUAGAAGUUGUACAGAUGGUGCUGAAUAUGACCAGUAAUAAAAGAAUUGAUGCUGAAUUAUUAGAGAGAAAUAUGCUACAGGUGGUGGUGGGUUUGGAGGCUUCGGCAACCAACAAGGAUCAGCUUUUUGUGGGGGUUCUGGAGGAAAGGAAAAGGGGGCAGAAAGGGAAACGACUAGCUGGGUGUUGCCUUUUUUUAUCUCUUUUUUCGCUAUCUUGUAAAUUCUGGAAUCUUAAUGAUAUAGCAUUUUUCUCUUGUUACUGUGUUACUGGAUUGCUGUUGCUCUUGCUUGUGACCGGUUUAUAUGCAUUGUGGGUCUAUUGUUGGGUUAUUUGUGCUCUUGGUUGUACAUUGAGUAAGGUUUGGCAUGGAAGGGUAUGGAAUUGCUGUUGAAUAAGGCUAUGGAAUUGCUAUUGAGUAAGAUUUGAAGCAUGGAAGGUUUGGCAAAAGGGUAUGGAAUUGCUAUUGAGUAAGGUUUGAAGCAACGAAGACAGAAGAAAGGAAGGCAUCUGCUGCAGGGAAUUGGAGUAUCUUGAUGUUGCAAGAAGAUAUGGUCUAUCAUCGUAUCUCUUGCAAUUGCAUUUGUUUUGAGGCACCCUCUUGUUGCAAGUGCUGUAUUUAGAGCUACCAAGUCAAGCCAACUUCAGGAGGUUAUAAAUGCAUGCCAGGUUGAGCUCACAGUCGAAAUUGUCGUAGAAUCAAUAGAAUCCAUUCAAACUUUCCUAAUUCGUGUCCCUGAUUUAUUUCCUUGGACAAACUUCUGUACUUAUAUAGAUGAAAAGGACAAGGCAACUCCCUUGGAAGAAGCAUAAAUAGAUCACAAUUUCCUUAUAUAGACUUCUGUACUUUUAGGCUGCUGUUUUAUCAGUUGUCAGGCCAAUUUUAAUGAAUCAUAACACAAUUUUAAUG